UGACAAGCAGCUUGCCACUCUAAAAGUUAAUCACAAAAUGCUUUUUCUCUGUUAAGAAUUCUGACAACUUCAAUUCCUUCAUAAUAUUAACUUGAAAACAAAACCGAAAACUUUUUAAACUUAGGCUUUUUUUUUUUUUUCUUAGUAAGACAUAUACAAACACACGAUCUGGGAUAACAGUUGUUUUAUUCAUCAAUUUCAUCCCUUGCUCUUUGUCUCAACCUUCUUCUUUUCUUUUAAACAGGAAGUAACAUCAUACUGACGGAUGAUUUUACCACAGCUAUCUCCAGUUUAUACUGAAAAGUAUACAAGAUAGCCUGCUUUAAACAUUUCAGAGUUUAGGCUCUGCUUUUUCCUUUAGAAGAGUGCAGUUCUACAUCCCGUGACCACAGCCCCGCUUCAUUUCAGCAGAUACCAUUAUCUUUUUCUUCUAGAAUUAUUUCUGUAUACCUGAGCCCAAUGAUUCAUUCACCAUUCAAUGGAAGAUAAAAUAUUUACAAUUUUAUUAUGAAACACACAUGGGACAUUGCAUGAACAGACAUAAAAUUAAGUCUGAGAUGACCAAAGUCUGGACUAAAUCUAUACUUAUGCUGCUGAAGGCAAGAAAAAUUAUUUAGUCUACAGUAAUGAUUUCCAGGAAUUUAUCUUGGUUUUGAGAGAAACAUUAAGAGCCCAAGAGUUCAUGAUAAACUAAAUCCAGCUCCGAGACUGAGAAGCAAGAAGGUUCUGGACAGGCAUUCUGUGAAGUUUCUUUCUUCUGUUUUGCUGCUAAGAGUUCCCGCUUUAACUGCCUUGCUUCUUUUCUGAGCUCUUCACUACAAAGCAAAAAAGGAAAGCCAGACUGGAUCAAGGAUGCUUACAGAAGACUGGAAGGUCAAGCAGACAUACACCCUAAUCUCCAAAAUUAUUCAAGCCAACCUCAAGCCUACAUAGUUCUACAUUGAUCCAUCCUUACAGGCACAUCCAAUCAGCCCACAGC